UUACGGCCAAAUCACAUUGAAACACAGGUUCCCGUACAAUCACCGAAGUUGAGCAAUGUCGAGCCUUGUCAGUACCUAGAUGAGUGAUCACUUGGGAAUACCAGGUGCUGUAA